rnacentral:rRNA from 1 species
UUAAGCGUGUAGGCUGGUUUUCCAGGCAAAUCCGGAAAAUCAAGGCUGAGGCGUGAUGACGAGGCACUACGGUGCUGAAGCAACAAAUGCCCUGCUUCCAGGAAAAGCCUCUAAGCAUCAGGUAACAUCAAAUCGUACCCCAAACCGACACAGGUGGUCAGGUAGAGAAUACCAAGGCGCUUGAGAGAACUCGGGUGAAGGAACUAGGCAAAAUGGUGCCGUAACUUCGGGAGAAGGCACGCUGAUAUGUAGGUGAAGCGACUUGCUCGUGGAGCUGAAAUCAGUCGAAGAUACCAGCUGGCUGCAACUGUUUAUUAAAAACACAGCACUGUGCAAACACGAAAGUGGACGUAUACGGUGUGACGCCUGCCCGGUGCCGGAAGGUUAAUUGAUGGGGUUAGCGCAAGCGAAGCUCUUGAUCGAAGCCCCGGUAAACGGCGGCCGUAACUAUAACGGUCCUAAGGUAGCGAAAUUCCUUGUCGGGUAAGUUCCGACCUGCACGAAUGGCGUAAUGAUGGCCAGGCUGUCUCCACCCGAGACUCAGUGAAAUUGAACUCGCUGUGAAGAUGCAGUGUACCCGCGGCAAGACGGAAAGACCCCGUGAACCUUUACUAUAGCUUGACACUGAACAUUGAGCCUUGAUGUGUAGGAUAGGUGGGAGGCUUUGAAGUGUGGACGCCAGUCUGCAUGGAGCCGACCUUGAAAUACCACCCUUUAAUGUUUGAUGUUCUAACGUUGACCCGUAAUCCGGGUUGCGGACAGUGUCUGGUGGGUAGUUUGACUGGGGCGGUCUCCUCCUAAAGAGUAACGGAGGAGCACGAAGGUUGGCUAAUCCUGGUCGGACAUCAGGAGGUUAGUGCAAUGGCAUAAGCCAGCUUGACUGCGAGCGUGACGGCGCGAGCAGGUGCGAAAGCAGGUCAUAGUGAUCCGGUGGUUCUGAAUGGAAGGGCCAUCGCUCAACGGAUAAAAGGUACUCCGGGGAUAACAGGCUGAUACCGCCCAAGAGUUCAUAUCGACGGCGGUGUUUGGCACCUCGAUGUCGGCUCAUCACAUCCUGGGGCUGAAGUAGGUCCCAAGGGUAUGGCUGUUCGCCAUUUAAAGUGGUACGCGAGCUGGGUUUAGAACGUCGUGAGACAGUUCGGUCCCUAUCUGCCGUGGGCGCUGGAGAACUGAGGGGGGCUGCUCCUAGUACGAGAGGACCGGAGUGGACGCAUCACUGGUGUUCGGGUUGUCAUGCCAAUGGCACUGCCCGGUAGCUAAAUGCGGAAGAGAUAAGUGCUGAAAGCAUCUAAGCACGAAACUUGCCCCGAGAUGAGUUCUCCCUGACUCCUUGAGAGUCCUGAAGGAACGUUGAAGACGACGACGUUGAUAGGCCGGGUGUGUAAGCGCAGCGAUGCGUUGAGCUAA